AAAACGCGUUCAAAGUGUUUGCGAGUUUUGCAGCGCAUUUAUUCUCCGUUUUUUUGCUUCUUUAAUGUUCUUUCCGGGCAAGCUUUAUAUUCGCGGAACUGGAGAAGAUCCAAGAAGCAGCUUCAGCGGAACAAAUGAAUCUCGACGAAGCUCACCGAAAUGCGACUGGAACUUGGAGAUGUUUGAUUACCAGCCCAGAAGAAAGGUGUGAAAAUGGAGGUGAUGAAGAUGGACGGGAGUUGGUCCUACCGUCGGCAGUGGAGAGGGUGACAAAAAUAAAAAACUUGGAGGCUCGACCAGCAUUCCAUUGCGAUUGUAUUUUUGGGAUGGGUUCCCAUGAAAAUUUUCUGGAUAAAAAAGGAAGCAAUGGGUGUCAAUGGAAACGGAAAUCCAUAUUAACAAAGCUUAAAUUAAAAUAUGGUUUGAUUGAUCCUGGAUCUUCCUGACACGAUUGACGCAAAAGAGAUGUUCCGAUUUUUUUUCGAGAGAGUGGAUUAUGACACCCGGUUUGGGCUCGAUGCUGUUCAGAAUAAUAUGGCGAACAAUGAGAAUUUGAUCUUCGCCCCUGAUCCUAAUGAUUGAACUGGAACUGAAAGGAAACCGUAUCGACUAAGCUUUAUCUUCUACUGUGAUGAAU